UACAAUGAACCAGAAGGCACUCUAAUUUUUCAGUUAGGCAUGAGUUUUGCAGAUACAAAAGAGGCAAGGGAAGCCUUAGCUAAGUAUACAAUGGCUAUGGAUAGAAGGUUAAAACUAAACCCCAAUGAACCAGGCCGUAUCAGAGUUAAAGUGUGUCACAGGUCAGAAUUGUGACUUCCUGGUGUUCAUGUCAAAGGAUGGAAAAAACCUAGGUUUGCUAGUUAAAACCCUGCAGCUAGAGCAUAAAUGCUACAGAACCUCUAAGAAUCCUAUAGUAACAAUUAUCUUUCUAGCAAACCAUUUUAGACCAUUAAUCUGCAGAAAUCCUAAGACUACUGUUAAGGAGCUUAUGAACCUUGUUGAGCUGCAACUUAAAGUCAAGGUUUCAUACAUAAUGUGCAAGAGGGCUAAGAGACUGGUUAAACAUGAAUUUGAUGGAAGCUAUAUAAAAGAGUUCCAAUGCUUGGAAGUUUAUGCAGUAGCCCUAAAAAGAGUCUUCAAGCGUAUGUUCAUAUGCUUUGCAGCAUGUAAGCAAGGUUGGAAGGCUGGAUGCGGGCCUUUUAUUGGGCUUGAUGGAUGCUUCUUGAAGAGUCCAUGCAAGGGACAAUUGCUGUAAGCAAUUGGGAAGGAUGAUGAUGAUCAGAUGUACCCAAUAGCCUAGGGUGUUAUAGAUACUGAAAACACAACAAACUGGAGAUGGUUUUUACAGCAUUUGGUUCAAGAACUUGACCUUGAUGAUGGAGCAGAAACUACCCUAAUAUCUGACAUGCAAAAGGGACUUAUUAAAGUUGGCAAAGAACUUCUUCCAAGUGUUGAACAUAAGUGGUAUGCAAGGCACAUUUGGGCACACUGGUCAAGAAAUGGGGAGGAGGUCAGUUUCAAAAACAAUUUUGGAUUUGUGCAUGGAGUCGCUAUGAGGAAGAGUUUGUUGAUCAACUAAAUAUGAUGGGACAAAUCAGCAAAAGAGCUAUAGAGGACUUAGUAUGGUAUCCCCCAAACAAUUGGUGUCGAGCAUAUUAGGCAUAAGUUAAUGAUUGCAGAUAAUAAUAUUACUGAGUGCUUUAACUCUUGGAUCAAGGAUUCCAGAUAUAAACCAAUUAUCAGCAUGCUUGAGGACAUUAGACUUCAAGUGGUGAACAGAAUAGCUGAGAAGAAGAAUCAGGCAAGAACUUGGUUCAGUGAAUGGAGUCCAUCAAGUAUGAAGUUCUUCCAUGGUAACAAAGACAUUGCAAUGGCCUGUAAAGCAGUGUUUAAUGGAGACGAAGGUAUUGAAAUUGGGGAAGGGGAUGAUAAAUAUACAGUCUUCUUAAACAAGAAAGUUUGUACUCUCAGGAUUUGGGAUCUUACUGGAAUCCAAUGCUCACAUGCCAUCUGUGCAAUACAUCAUUUGAAUAAGGAGCCUAUGAAUGAAGUCUAAGUAUGAAGCUUAUUAUAGCUUCACUAUGCAAUCAGUUCUUUGGAGGAGGUUUAUGAGAGUGGAUGAGUACCUGCAUAUGGAACCUCCAGAAGUGAAAAAAACUGCCUGGAAGACCAAGUAAAAAGCGCAUUAGAAAUGCUAAUGAACCAAACCCUUCAUCUGGAAGUGGAAAAUUAGGGAGAAAAGGCCAGAAGUAGAGAUGCAUGCAAUGUCAUGAAGAAGGGCACAAUAAAAUGUCAUGCAAGAAAAGGGGCCAAACAGGCACAUCAGAGGAUGGAUUCUAGCAAACUCAGUCAGGAAGUAGCAUGCCUGAACUCUGUGAAGCUUCUCAAACAACUCAGGCUUCUCAAACCACCCAAGCUUCUCAAACAACCCAGGCUUCUCAAACCACCCGAGCACCUCAAAAUUUUAGGAGACCAACAGUAGGAGGUGGCUGCUUUUAUGAUCCAGUAACUGGACAAAUUGUUUUGCAUGGGAACAACACAUAGCCUCUGAAACUCUAAUGGCUUCAGGAAGUUGCAUUACCACUGAAGAUCCUAAUAUGAGGUUCUCAAUUCCAAAUGAGAAUAUCAUUAGAAGAUCUUAUGCAAAAAAGUCUACAGGUUUACUCUAAAAGCCAUCACUUUUAGAGGAUCUGGGUCUCAUAUUAGGUAUGCUGACAACUUACCAUUUAAGCCAAUAGGAGGUCUUAAAUGGAAAGGUGCACCUGAAGUCACUCGCUCACAAUUGACUAAAAAAACUCAUGCAAAAAAGAAAGGAAAAAGCAACAAUGAUGCUGCAGCUACAAGCUGAAAUUAUAUGUUAUUUUUUUGUAUUAUUUUUGUAAGUUCCUUAGGAGGCUUUAAACUCUGCCUGUUAGGUUAAUUCUUUGUAAGUU